AAAAAUCAAAACGACGUCGUGUUAAUAGUGUUUGUUUUCAUAAAAAAAAAACAUAACGGGCUUAGGGCUAACUCGCGUUUCAUUUUAGCCGGCCCUAUUUUAACCCACACAAAACAAAACGGGUUUUGGAUUAAGAAAAUAGAUGCGGGCCGGGCUAACCCUAUUGGCAAAAGCCCAUAUUAACAUCCCUAGCUAAAAUGUUUGAUUGAUUUUGCAACAGAGUGGGACUCUGUUUACAGCUGGUGAGGAUCGGGCUAUAACAGCUUGGGACACAAAUAGGGGGAAGCUUGCUUAUUCCAUACAAGAUGCUCACCCAGCUCGGAUCAAAGGUGUCGUCACACUUACGAAGAAUGACAGUGACGGUGCGUCAGAAGAUCCGUAUUUGGUUGCUUCUGCAUCUUCUGAUGGGAUCAUACGUGUUUGGGACAUGCGAAUGGCGGCUAAAGAGAAUGCAAAACCAUUAGCCGAGACAAACACUAAAUCAAGGCUUACUUGUCUUGCCGGGUCAGCUCUUAAAUCUAUGAGACGGCCACAGAUUGGAAAUCAAAAAGCUCAGAAGCUAGAGGAAGGGCUGAACACAGAAUGAGAGCUGCUUAUUGACUACUAAAAGCUUUCGUGCUGACAACUAUCUGAUACAAGUUUUGGUAGAAUCUUAAAAUAUGAUCCAGUAUGUUUUUUGUCGAAUUACAAUCAAACAAUUUUGUUAAACCCUCAGAUUUGUGAAAGAAACCCAUACUUACUAUUUAUCA